UACACAGUUUAAUGAUGUCGUAUUGUCUCACUCUGUCUGCCUGCUACACAUUUUAAUGAUGUAGUGAGACAAUACGACAUCAUUAAACUGUGUAGCAGGCAGACAGAGUGAGACAAUACGACAUCAUUA
rnacentral:pre_miRNA from 1 species